AUGCUAAGACAUUACACUGGCAAGCGAGGGACGCGCUCCUGGCCUCGCAGCGCCACGGGCCCCUGGUGCCCCGAGGUCCCCCGCGGGAACCGGCGGCGGCAGGGGAGUGCCACUAACCUGACAGGGUGCGUGUACUGCGCCAGCUUUCGGGAGGCUUCCGCCAGCUCGCCGGGGCUGUGAGGCUGCGGAGGAGAGAGCAGAGUUCCAAUUUUAACUCCACCUGUUGGCACUUCAUCAGGAUGAGAAUGACCUGCCUUUUCUUCAGAGAUCAGCAGAGAAAAGAAGCUGAAUGUGUGCUGUCUGCAUCUAUUCCCUCAUUAACUGUGCUGGUAGUAUGAAAUCAUUCAUUAUUUUCCUUCCUUGCUGUAAACCUUGGGAGUGUAUUUUGAUAACCUUGACAGUCCUCUGUGCAGGUUUUGCUGUACCCUCAAUCAACUCAGUGCACAAAAUGAGGCAAGCAAAAUACAGAGUUUGCAGGAAUGAUUACUUGUGAGUUUAGAGACUUCUUGUCUUCCUGUUGGCCAGAACUUACGGAGAAGAUUCAAGAUGAGCAGUUCUUUGGAGGAUGAUCUUUAUGUUCUGUCCUAAUCCAUGGAGAUUUUGUGUAACAUUCUUCUUAGGCUUCACAUUUCCAUAAUGAAAAAUAAAAAUAGAUGCUAAGUACAUUCCUUGUUCCAGGUGCACAAAAAGCUGAGCGGGAAAUCUGCAGAUCAUUGUGGUCCAUCCAAUAUCCUAUGUGCUGUUUCUCAUAUAAUCUUUCUUUUCUGAUUAUUGUGUCUAAUAAAGAAAAUAUGUACAGUUA